rnacentral:rRNA from 1 species
CCUACGGGAGGCAGCAGUGAGGAAUAUUGGUCAAUGGGCGGAAGCCUGAACCAGCCAAGUCGCGUGAGGGAUUAAGGCCCUGCGGGUCGUAAACCUCUUUUGCCGGGGAGCAGUGGUCCGGACGAGUCCGGGCCGGGAAAGUACCCGGAGAAAAAGCAUCGGCUAACUCCGUGCCAGCAGCCGCGGUAAUACGGAGGAUGCGAGCGUUAUCCGGAUUUAUUGGGUUUAAAGGGUGCGUAGGCGGGCAUUUAAGCCGGCGGUCAAAUGUCGGGGCUCAACCCCGGCCUGCCGUCGGAACUGGGUGCCUUGAGUGGGCGAGAAGUAUGCGGAAUGCGUGGUGUAGCGGUGAAAUGCAUAGAUAUCACGCAGAACCCCGAUUGCGAAGGCAGCAUACCGGCGCCCGACUGACGCUGAGGCACGAAAGUGCGGGUAUCGAACAGGAUUAGAUACCCCUGUAGUC